rnacentral:rRNA from 1 species
GUAGUCAACAUGCCCAGGGGACGUGGAUAACCUCGGGAAACUGAGGAUAAACCGCGAUAGGCCAUAAUGUCUGGAAUGAUUUAUGGCUCAAAUCUACAUGGCCCCUGGAUUGGACUGCGGCCGAUCAGGCUGUUGGUGAGGUAAUGGCCCACCAAACCUAAAACCGGUACGGGCUCUGAGAGGAGAAGCCCGGAGAUGGGCACUGAGACAAGGGCCCAGGCCCUAUGGGGCGCAGCAGGCGCGAAACCUCUGCAAUAAGCGAAAGCUUGACAGGGUUAUUCUGAGUGAUUUCCGCUAAGGAAGUCUUUUGGCACCUCUAAAAAUGGUGCAGAAUAAGGGGUGGGCAAGCCUGGUGUCAGCCGCCGCGGUAAUACCAGCACCCCGAGUGGUCGGGACGAUUAUUGGGCCUAAAGCAUCCGUAGCCGGUUCUACAAGUCUUCCGUUAAAUCCACCUGCUUAACAGUUGGGCUGCGGAGGAUACUAUAGAGCUAGGAGGCGGGAGAGGCAAGCAGUACUUAGUGGGUAGGGGUAAAAUCCGUUGAUCCACUGAAGACCACCAGUGGCGAAGGCGGCUUGCCAGAACGCGCUCGACGGUGAGGGAUGAAAGCUGGGGGAGCAAACCGGAUUAGAUACCCGGGUAGGCCCAGCUGUAAACGAUGCAGACUCGGUGAUGAAUAGGCUUCGUGCCUAUUCAGUGCCGCAGGGAAAGCCGUUAAGUCUGCCGCCUGGGGAGUACGGUCGCAAGACUGAAACUUAAAGGAAUUGGCGGGGGAG